GCGCGGCUACACAUGCAGUCGAGCGGUAGCACAGAGAGCUUGCUCUCGGGUGACGAGCGGCGGACGGGUGAGUAAUGUCUGGGAAACUGCCUGAUGGAGGGGGAUAACUACUGGAAACGGUAGCUAAUACCGCAUAACGUCGCAAGACCAAAGUGGGGGACCUUCGGGCCUCAUGCCAUCAGAUGUGCCCAGAUGGGAUUAGCUAGUAGGUGGGGUAAUGGCUCACCUAGGCGACGAUCCCUAGCUGGUCUGAGAGGAUGACCAGCCACACUGGAACUGAGACACGGUCCAGACUCCUACGGGAGGCAGCAGUGGGGAAUAUUGCACAAUGGGCGCAAGCCUGAUGCAGCCAUGCCGCGUGUAUGAAGAAGGCCUUCGGGUUGUAAAGUACUUUCAGCGAGGAGGAAGGCGUUAAGGUUAAUAACCUUAGCGAUUGACGUUACUCGCAGAAGAAGCACCGGCUAACUCCGUGCCAGCAGCCGCGGUAAUACGGAGGGUGCAAGCGUUAAUCGGAAUUACUGGGCGUAAAGCGCACGCAGGCGGUCUGUCAAGUCGGAUGUGAAAUCCCCGGGCUCAACCUGGGAACUGCAUUCGAAACUGGCAGGCUAGAGUCUUGUAGAGGGGGGUAGAAUUCCAGGUGUAGCGGUGAAAUGCGUAGAGAUCUGGAGGAAUACCGGUGGCGAAGGCGGCCCCCUGGACAAAGACUGACGCUCAGGUGCGAAAGCGUGGGGAGCAAACAGGAUUAGAUACCCUGGUAGUCCACGCCGUAAACGAUGUCGACUUGGAGGUUGUGCCCUUGAGGCGUGGCUUCCGGAGCUAACGCGUUAAGUCGACCGCCUGGGGAGUACGGCCGCAAGGUUAAAACUCAAAUGAAUUUGACGGGGGCCCGCACAAGCGGUGGAGCAUGUGGUUUAAUUCGAUGCAACGCGAAGAACCUUACCUACUCUUGACAUCCAGAGAACUUAGCAGAGAUGCUUUGGUGCCUUCGGGAACUCUGAGACAGGUGCUGCAUGGCUGUCGUCAGCUCGUGUUGUGAAAUGUUGGGUUAAGUCCCGCAACGAGCGCAACCCUUAUCCUUUGUUGCCAGCGGUCCGGCCGGGAACUCAAAGGAGACUGCCAGUGAUAAACUGGAGGAAGGUGGGGAUGACGUCAAGUCAUCAUGGCCCUUACGAGUAGGGCUACACACGUGCUACAAUGGCAUAUACAAAGAGAAGCGACCUCGCGAGAGCAAGCGGACCUCAUAAAGUAUGUCGUAGUCCGGAUUGGAGUCUGCAACUCGACUCCAUGAAGUCGGAAUCGCUAGUAAUCGUAGAUCAGAAUGCUACGGUGAAUACGUUCCCGGGCCUUGUACACACCGCCCGUCACACCAUGGGAGUGGGUUGCAAAAGAAGUAGGUAGCUUAACCUUCGGGAGGGCGCUUACCACUUGAUC
rnacentral:rRNA from 1 species